rnacentral:misc_RNA from 1 species
AGCUAGUCCAUGAGCCUUACAAUCUGUGUGGCGUUUCACUCGUUAACCAAGAACCAAUUUCAGUUAUCCUGAAACUACAAACAUGGGUACACAUAUUCUGGUUCUCCUACUCACGGCAAAGUUGGUCGCUUCGACAAAGUUAUCUCUUUUUCUUCUCUUUCACAAAGUAUGCAGUGAAUGGGCCUCAACCAUUGACGACUUAGCUGAUGAAGUGAGUCAGUCAAAGUGGGAAAAAAUCUAUAUUCUUUUUGUCAGCGAAGAAAACGACACUACUUUCAACAUCAGAUUUUCCAGUUCUCAGAGUGUUGAUCUAAACAUACCUGAAGCUUAUGUUUACUACGUGGGAGAAGUAUACCAUGAGGGUGCUGUCUUUGGUGAUUGUGCACAGAUAAGUCCGGUAUGCAACACUUAUUUUCAUUUUUGGGACAAAAACCAUUUGGUGGGUGAAUUCGUCACAAACAGUUUCAGUAUUUCAAGCCAGUCACCACUCUAUUACCUGGCAUGUGGAUCACUUCUACAACGUUUUCCCCCGGCGCCAUUGCGGAGACGGAACCUCAGUCUUCCAGGCGUGGAACCUACAGAGCCACAAGCCAGCCGCCCAAGCGUGGAACCUACAGAGCCACAACCUAACGUCAGUCUUCCAGGACCGGGACCUAAGCAGCCCAAAGACCAAGACCACCAGUGUGCAGCCCAUACCAUAGGCCUCGGGAUCGUGGGGGCGGCGCUGGUCUUCCUACUGACCUUCGUCUGCGUCGCCGGUUGGAGGGCAAGGCGCGCAGCGGAGUCUCCCAAACUCGGUGCAGCAAAAGGUCACAGCACAGCUUCCGGUCACGAGAGCGAGAACAGCAUCUACGGAAUGAUGGAAAUGGGCCAAACCAACACCUAAGACUGUGACCCGUGACCUGUGACCUGUGACCUGCCACGACAGAUAUUUGACCCGCUUUCAACCCAGGCGCUAGAAGGUGGCCUAGCGCAACGGCCGGGCGCUGGUGCUGUGGGUUCGAACGCUGGACUCCGAGACAGGGCGGAGAGGAACCAGCCACUCGACCGCUUCAUCCCGAGGUCUUGUUCCUCUGUCAAGAUGGCUCCUUCAUCCCCUCGGCUGUGGGACCAACUCUAACUUUGAGCUAAAUCAUAAUGAUUCAGAUUAUUCCACACUAAACAUGUGUGUAUGUAUGUAUGUAUGUAUGUAUGUAUAUGUAUGUAUGGAUGUAUGUAUAUAUAUA